UUCCCUUCUUUCUUUCUGCAUCUCUCUUUUAUACUUCCCUUGUACUAUGGCUAUGUUCAUACCUUCAUUUUGCUUGCUUUUAUCAUAAUAAUUGUGAUCAUUGGUUUUAUCUUCAUCAUCUGCUAGUUGCGACAGAAUAUAGCGUUUCUGCCUUCAUCUGAAAUUUUAGGUUAGCAGGCAUCACAUUGGACCUAGCAACUCUGCUCUUACGACUCAUGUCAGUGCCUAACGAGGACAAAAUGGCUUCUCAUGCUCAGCUUUCAUCUCAUUUUUUUGGGGAUCUCCUUGAUUCCAUUAUUGUUGAUGUGGCAUCUCAGUGCCAUCGAAUAGCAAGGUUGGGCCUUGAUCGUAAUUUGGAAGAAGAGGAAGAAGUCGAAGUACCAGUCGAAGGAGACCCUUUCUCAUAUCCAUUUUUUAUCCUUGGCCUUGGGAGUGGCGAUGGAUGACAGCUUUAUUCAACUUCUCGUUGGCGUGCCUGACUUACUUUCAUUCUUUCCUCAUUUUUUUUUUUCCUUUUACACUUUUUUUUCUUGUCCACUCUUUGUUUUCUUUUUGUCUCUUCUUUCUCUCUAUUCUUAUGUCUUCAAGUGAGAGCCCUAUGAUAAGCUGGACUUAGUUA